ACUCAAAUGAAUAGACGGGGACCCGCACAAGCAGCGGAGCAUGUGGUUUAAUUCGAAGCAACGCGAAGAACCUUACCAGGGCUUGACAUCCCCCUGAAUGUUAUGUAACGGUAACAGCCUUCGGGCAGGGGAGACAGGUGGUGCAUGGUUGUCGUCAGCUCGUGUCGUGAGAUGUUGGGUUAAGUCCCGCAACGAGCGCAACCCUUGUCAUUAGUUGCCAUCAUUAAGUUGGGCACUCUAGUGAGACUGCCGGGGAUAACUCGGAGGAAGGUGGGGAUGACGUCAAAUCAUCAUGCCCCUUAUGUUCUGGGCUACACACGUGCUACAAUGGCCGGUACAACGAGACGCAAAGUUGUGAAGCGGAGCAAAUCUCAAAAGCCGGUCCCAGUUCGGAUUGCAGGCUGAAACCCGCCUGCAUGAAGUCGGAGUUGCUAGUAAUCGCAGAUCAGAAUGCUGCGGUGAAUGCGUUCCCGGGUCUUGUACACACCGCCCGU
rnacentral:rRNA from 1 species